GGUGGAAUGGUUGACGUUACGGACUUAAAAUCCUGUUCGACCGUAAAAGGUCGU
rnacentral:tRNA from 1 species